UACGUAGGUGGCAAGCGUUGUCCGGAUUUACUGGGCGUAAAGAGCGCGCAGGCGGUCGUUCAAGUCGCGUGUGAAAGCCCCCGGCUCAACUGGGGAGGGUCACGCGAUACUGAUCGACUCGAAGGCAGGAGAGGGAAGUGGAAUUCCCGGUGUAGCGGUGAAAUGCGUAGAGAUCGGGAAGAACAUCGGUGGCGAAAGCGCUCUGCUGGACUGCAACUGACACUCAGGGACGAAAGCUAGGGGAGCGAAUGGG
rnacentral:rRNA from 1 species